rnacentral:rRNA from 1 species
ACGAACGCUGGCGGCGUGCCUAAUACAUGCAAGUCGAGCGGAUUUCGUUAGGAGCUUGCUUCUAACGGGGUUAGCGGCGGACGGGUGAGUAACACGUAGGCAACCUGCCUUCAAGGCUGGGAUAACAUUCGGAAACGGAUGCUAAUACCGGAUAAACCAUAGAUCUGCAUGGAGAAAUGGGGAAAGGCGGAGCAAUCUGCCACUUGGAGAUGGGCCUGCGGCGCAUUAGCUAGUUGGUGGGGUAACGGCUCACCAAGGCGACGAUGCGUAGCCG